rnacentral:lncRNA from 1 species
CCAUUGUUCUAAUAACAAAGCUGGACCUUAGUCUCCAAACACCUAUUUUUUUUUGGCAAUUUUUCCUUCUUAGAAAUUUGUUAUCUGUCAGUUACUCUCCCAAGAAUGCUCAUUAAUCUUGGGACCCAGAGUGGAAUAACCUCUUUAGUUGCCUGGGCUACACAAAUGUGCCACUUUCUUAUACUGGGAGCCACAGAGUGCUUCUUUCUGGCUGUGAUGGCCUAAGACCGCUAUGUGGCCAUUUGUAACCCUCUGCACUAUCUUCUCUUCAUAAACCAUGAGGUCUGUACCCAGAUGGUGGCUGGCUCCUGGAUCACUGGAACUCCUGUCUGGAUAGUGCAGACAUUCCAGGUUUUCUCUUUGCCAUUUUAUGGUUCCAAACAAAUCAAGCACCUGUUCUGUGACAUUACCCCAACACUUACACUGUCCUGUGGGAACAUGUUUUUGAAUGAGAUGAAUCUCUGUAUAGGUACUGUGUUUCAUGUCCUGGCUCCAUGUCUGUUGAUAUUUAUCCCUGGCGGCAAAAUUGUCUGCACAAUCUAUAAAUGGCCAUCAGCUACAACUACGAGUUGUGUCAAAGUUUUCUCCAUCUGUUUAUCUCAUCUCAUAAUUGUGGCAUUGUCAUUUGGAUAAGGCUUCAUUACAUACUUAAGACCCCAAACCCGUCAUUCAGCAGGAACUGACAAAAUGCUUUCUCUUUUUCGUACUAUUGUGACUCCAUUAUUAAUUCCAUGACAUAUAGUCUAAGGAAUACCAAUGUGUAAUGGUCUUGAAAAAAAAAUCACUAUCAUGAUCUUGUUUUCUU